rnacentral:lncRNA from 1 species
AGGAUACUACGUUUGUGACAGUGACGUAUGUAAAGAGCGGGCAAAACAAAUUAUGGAUUCGAUAGACACAUCCGUUGGACCCUGCGAUGAUUUCUACGCCUACGCCUGUGGUGGUUGGAGGGAAAAAAACAGCGACAAACUUAACGGACGAUCGUCUUUUGGUAUUAUUCAGAUGCUCAGUGAGAAUCUGAGACAAAGCCUGAAAAGAAUAAUGGGAAAUAUUCCACUUGUAACAGAAAAUCAGACCAUCGUAGAAAAGAUCGC